UCCUUGGUGAGAUGAAUCCUUACCUGUUCCGUCUUUUUGGAAGGCGGAUAGAAAAUGGUGAUUAAAGUCCACACCGUGUGUGGUCAGCCUCUCUGUGUAAAUAGAGCCCACAGCACCUUGGUUGUCCUUUUCGGAG
rnacentral:snoRNA from 1 species